rnacentral:rRNA from 1 species
CGGGACGGGUGAGUAAUGUCGUAGGAACUGCCUGAUGGAGGGGGAUAACUACUGGAAACGGUAGCUAAUACCGCAUAACGUCGCAAGACCAAAGAGGGGGACCUUCGGGCCUCUUGCCAUCGGAUGUGCCCAGAUGGGAUUAGCUAGUAGGUGGGGUAACGGCUCACCUAGGCGACGAUCCCUAGCUGGUCUGAGAGGAUGACCAGCCACACUGGAACUGAGACACGGUCCAG